rnacentral:rRNA from 1 species
AUUGAACGCUGGCGGCAGGCUUAACACAUGCAAGUCGAGCGAGCGGCGGACGGGUGAGUAAUGUCUGGGAAUCUGCCUGAUGGAGGGGGAUAAAUACUGGAAACGGUAGCUAACACCGCAUACCAUCAGAUGUGCCCAGAUGGGAUUAGAGAGUAGGUGGGGUAAUGGCUCACCUAGGCGACGAUCCCUAGCUGGUCUGAGAGGAUGACCAGCCACCAUGGAACUGAGACAAGGCCCAGACUCCUACGGGAGGCAGCAGUGGGGAGUAUUGCACAAUGGGCGCAAGCCUGAGGCAGCCAUGCGGCGUGUGUGAAGAAGGCCUUAGGGUUGUAAAGCACUUUCAGCGAGGAGGCGUUACUCGCAGAAGAAGCACCGGCUAACUCCGUGCCAGCAGCCGCGGUAAUAC